rnacentral:tRNA from 1 species
GAGGGUAUAGCUCAGUGGUAGAGUGCAAGCUUAGCAUACAGGAGGUCCUGGGUUCAAUCCCCAGUACCUCCA